CAGCCGCCGCGGUAAUACGUAGGGUGCAAGCGUUAAUCGGAAUUACUGGGCGUAAAGCGUGCGCAGGCGGUGUUGUAAGACUGAUGUGAAAUCCCCGGGCUCAACCUGGGAACUGCAUUGGUGACUGCAGCGCUGGAGUGCGGCAGAGGGGGAUGGAAUUCCGCGUGUAGCAGUGAAAUGCGUAGAUAUGCGGAGGAACACCGAUGGCGAAGGCAAUCCCCUGGGCCUGCACUGACGCUCAUGCACGAAAGCGUGGGGAGCAAACAGGAUUAGAUACCCCCGUAGUCCCUGUCUCUUAUAC
rnacentral:rRNA from 1 species